rnacentral:rRNA from 1 species
UACGUAGGGACCAAGCGUUGUUCGGAUUUACUGGGCGUAAAGGGCGCGUAGGCGGCCCUACAAGUCACUUGUGAAAUCUCCGGGCUUAACUCGGAAUGGCCAAGUGAAACUGUAAGGCUAGAGUGCAGAAGGGGCAAUCGGAAUUCUUGGUGUAGCGGUGAAAUGCGUAGAUAUCAAGAGGAACACCUGAGGUGAAGACGGGUUGCUGGGCUGACACUGACGCUGAUGCGCGAAAGCCAGGGGAGCGAACGGG